AGCAGCCGCGGUAAUUCCAGCUCCAAUAGCGUAUAUUAAAGUUGUUGCAGUUAAAAAGCUCGUAGUUGAACUUCGGGAUCAAUGGAUCGGUCAUGCCAUCGGUAUGUACUGGUCUCAUUGGUUCUCACCUUCUAAGGAACCAUAAUGUCAUUCAUUUGAUGUUUUGGGGAAUUAGGACUGUUACCUUGAAAAAUUAGAGUGUUUAAAGCAGGCUAACGCUUGAAUACAUUAGCAUGAAAUAAUGAAAUAGGACAUCGCAUUCUAUUUUGUUGGUUUCUAGGAUCGAUGUAAUGAUUAAUAGGGAUAGUUGGGGGCAUUAGUAUUCAAUUGUCAGAGGUGAAAUUCUUGGAUUUUAUUGAAAGACUAACUACUGACGAAAGCAUUUGCCAAGGAUUGUUUUCAUUAAUCAAGAACGAAAGUUAGGGGAUCGAAGACGAUCAGAUACCGUCGUAGUCUUAACAUAAACUAUGCCGACUAGGAAUCGGAUGAGUGUUAGUAAUUUUUUAANGUA
rnacentral:rRNA from 1 species